UCCGAGUUGACCCCGGCAGUCUCCUGCGAGUCCCCGCCAUUACGCGCUGGCAACACAGGACAAGGGUUGCGCUCGUUGCGGGACUUAACCCAACAUCUCACGACACGAGCUGACGACAACCAUGCACCACCUGUCACUUUGUCCCCCGAAGGGGAAAGCCCUAUCUCUAGGGUGGUCAAAGGAUGUCAAGACCUGGUAAGGUUCUUCGCGUUGCUUCGAAUUAAACCACAUGCUCCACCGCUUGUGCGGGCCCCCGUCAAUUCCUUUGAGUUUCAGCCUUGCGGCCGUACUCCCCAGGCGGAGUGCUUAUUGCGUUAACUGCGGCACUAAGGGUGGAAGCCCCUAACACCUAGCACUCAUCGUUUACGGCGUGGACUAC
rnacentral:misc_RNA from 1 species